UACGUAGGGCGCAAGCGUUGUCCGGAAUUAUUGGGCGUAAAGAGCUCGUAGGCGGCUUGUCGCGUCUGCUGUGAAAGCACGAGGCUCAACCUCGUGUCUGCAGUGGGUACGGGCAGGCUAGAGUGUGGUAGGGGAGACUGGAAUUCCUGGUGUAGCGGUGGAAUGCGCAGAUAUCAGGAGGAACACCGAUGGCGAAGGCAGGUCUCUGGGCCACUACUGACGCUGAGGAGCGAAAGCGUGGGGAG
rnacentral:rRNA from 1 species